CGUACAUCAGGCGCUGGAACAGCUCUGUGUCUCAGUGCUGCCGCUCGGCAUUGUGGGAGCAGAAAGAAAGCACUCUGUGGCCAGAAAGCACAGCUCACCCUGUAAGAUGGGCUCGGGUGUUUUGUGUGAGUGAGUGUGUUGUGGAUGUGCAGCGAUGAUUUCUUAAAUCAUGCAUCAUCUUGCUCCUCCCAUUUCACACAAACCCACGCGUGGCGUGAAGUGAGCAGGGACACGGGAGUCCUGUAUCUAUGCUGCUAUUUGCCUCCUGCCAUAACAUCUCGUGCUUUAAGUCAAACUUUAUCAAAGAGUGGUCCGCGGACCACAGGUGAUACGGAAAAAUAUUGGUGAAAAUAUCACAUUUUAAAUGAAUAUAUUCUCACUGAAAAGUCAAAGGGAUUAAAAACAACUCUAACAUCUAAUAGACAGGUGCAUAUAUGUAUUAUUUUCAUAUGUAGAUGAUUAUUGUUUUUGGAUAUUUGUGGAAUUAGGUGGGCGGGGAGACUUUUUUAUUGGUUAAGUGAUCCUUUGAGUGAAAAACACAAUUUUAAGUGCAUACUUAGUGGGCCUAAUGGCCCAUUCACAUUCUGACGAUUAGCCCUGCGUUUGCUGAUGCUGAUGAAUGACGACCAGGGCUGAGGUCCACCAGAGUCCACACGAGCUAACGGCCCUAUUCCACAGAGCACCGUUCUGCUACGAUCGACUAUUUGCCAAAAAAAAAAUGCAGAGAUGGUUUGAACCCGGCUUGCCUCCUAACAGGCUCCCUUAUAAAGUGCAGACCUGGCAACCUGCCCUAAAACAAAAACUAAGGAGUUGUGCCUUCAGCCAGAGGUGAUCGAGCUGUUUAACUUUGAACAAAUCCGUAAUUAAACGCUGCUUCGGCUUCAAAUUUUUACCCCGAUAGAGCACAAUCAAAUAUAUUUCAAGCUGUAGUCAUGAAAAAUACCCCGUUUAAAGAAAUUCAAACAUGAAUAGAGCUGCUAAGACUAUGAACACACAGAAAUGACUGCAUAAUGACACAAAUUUUGCAAGUCGGGAUAAUAUUUUUGAACAGUUAGACAAUUUGACCCCGAUUUCAAAACUGGUACCGCUGAUGGCCGCAACUACUACGUAUACCAAGUCUGUUCAAGAUGGACAAAGAUGGAUCAAGAAGUUACUAUGAUGCUUCAAAACAUUUGCUAUUUGGGAUUAAACGGGAAGGACAUGUUCCAUGGAAUAGCCCUCAAGUCGACGUCGGUCGGGCAACGCUGAUGUUAGUUGUGGUCCUGGAAAAAUUUUUAAAAUGCUUAAAAAAGUCAAUGUUCACCUCAGAACGCUGGAAAAAGUUGAGCUCUGUUACCACUACAUCGUAGAGCUACAGCUUGACUGGUCACUCCACCAACUCUGGAUCCCUUGGGCAUGAAGAAAUAUGUAGAAAUAUGAGCAAGUUUGAAGGAAUAUGUAGAACCUGCCUCCACGAUAAACCAGUAACAAGUGACACAAUUGCAGAGUUGGAUUGAGUUUAUAUCGGCUAAUCCUCAGAAUGCGCUACCAAUUCGCCCGCUCUCCCACAGCGAAGGUUGAACUACAUCCUAUAGUGCGUCAUGGGUCUAUCGCCAAACAUAGACCUCCACCAGUACAACGUCACCCUCUGCUGAGCUGUGUCAGCCUGCAUUGAAGACAGGAAAUUUGGACCCUUGUAGCAAGAAGCCUUGUUCAGCGUUUCAUAGAGAUUUUUGAGAAUCUGUUACGUCAACCACUUCACGUCAUGGUAUGAAUGGGCCCAAAGAACUUAAUACCUCAAACUCUUUCAUGCCUCAUUGCUGGCAAACAUACCUACUACCAACCAGUAGGUACUCGUAGCCACAAUGUCUAAUUGUCUAAGCACUAGCCAUGAAUUUGAAUGCAUCAUUGUUGCCACACAAAUGGGCAGUUCAGCGCUGGAGUCAGUUUUGACUUGUGAACGUGAAGACAUCACUGCUACAUAAAGAAGCUAAAUUUAACGCUUAGCCUAACAUUAACUAGCACUUAACCCUAAUAAUCACCUUCAUCUUUACGUUGAACUCCUCCAAUCUCUAGUGAAGAAGGUCCUCUGUGCCGCUGUACUUGCUCUGCAGUUGCUGACGAGGCGUCGCUGUGUGAUACCUCCUAAUGAGGAUGAUUUGAGACUCCGUUUGCUUUCAGAUGUUUGUGCAGCCUGGAUGCUCUUUCAGUCUGUCUGGCAGUAAAAACAUGUGUCUGAUCUACACCAGACUGCCAUCUGUGCAUCUUCCUCCCACAUUAGUAACGGUAAACACCCAUCACAAAUGUCCUGUCAGUAUUCUGGAGGCUGGGACACUUUCUGAGCUGCCCAUGACCUGAUUUAUUUCUGCUGCACACAAAUAAUGAUUUCAUUUGCACAAAAGCAUCAGACUCCAUUCUCAGAUUGUCUCGGGUUGAAUAAUUUAUUUUGAUCUUGUUCAAAUGUAAAACAGCCCCCCCCACCACCACAAAUUGGAGUUUUAUGCCCCAUAGACUUUGAAAACUGGAUAAGUUAAUUUAACUCAAACAUUUGUUGAAACAAAAUAAGUAGAACCAACUUUUUUUUUUUUUUUUUUAAGUUUAAUCUUCCUUUAACUUUAAAUAAAAAGUUUUUAAUGGAUGUUAUCGAAGAAAAGUAAUUUUGGCAACUUCCACUUUGAGUGUCUCGCCGUCAAAACAAGAGUCAAAUUUAAUUUGUGUUCCACAUUGCUGUUGUAACUGAAAAAAAUGUUCAGGAAUUUAUUUUGAUCAUAAAGGCAGAAAUGUAUCCCCGAUUCCUGGUAUUUAAUGAUGUCACGGUGCCAUCAAUGCUUUCCAGAGUGUUCGUUUUUUUGAUUUGAAACGGUGAAAAUCCAUUUGACGGUAAAAAGAAAAAAGGCUUCUUAUAACUAUUUUACCUUCAUGUACUGUCAGCUUCUUUUUUUUUUUUAUGCGCUUGAAACAAUUGUGACAGUGUAACACGAAAUGCAUUAUUCUGGUUAUUUUCCCAUUCCUGAAAUUUGUAGGGAUGAGAGUCGUAUCACUCUUCUUAUCAAUGUUGGCAUGUUUUUCUUGACAGUUCUAUGUUGAAUCUGUCAGUGACAUCUAUUGAAUCCCGCCCUAAAAAUGUUUAAAGUUUAAAUGCAUUUGACAAACUCACGCAUGGUGGCCCGGGGCCUGACACGGCCGUCGCCCUGCUGUUGCGGCCGUGCGGUAAAUUUCUUUUUAAUAAUGGUUUAUAAAUUAUUUUCCUUCAUUGUGACGAAUGCCCUUCAAAGCCCUAAACCCAAAAUCAACUCUAAAACCUCACAUCCAGUAUCUGUUUUUGUAUGUUUCUGCACAUACGUGAUGGGAAAGCGUGUUUGCAAGUGCAUGUUGGUGAACGUGUGCGUUUAUAUGGAUGCGUCUGCGCCCACAGUAAAUCUGCUCCGAGGAGCCUCGGCUUACUGCAGGAUCACCCAGAUGUUGCUUUCUUGCCUCCUCACCGCCCCUCUGGGGCUGCCGUCACCGAGCAGACAAAAUCAGAACAGAACAAUUCCUGUGCCACAGGCUCCGUUCGCUGAGCUCGAGCCUUCCGGAAAAGCACAACCUUCAGCUGUGGAGCGUCUUGUGAAUCGUCACAGUACAAAGCCCUGCAUGUCUGUGGUCCAAAGCCCAAUGCCCUUGUCACGUGUCUGUUUCAAGCCCUCGCCGGAUUUGGAGUAAAUUAUAAGGGAGUUUAAUUUCUUCUGAGCCAUUCAACGCUUUGUUGAGCAGAUAAGCAGAACCCGUGGAGCGAGAGUCGCAGCUCCUGUGGG